CGUGUAGGCGGCCUUUCAAGUCUUUGGUGAAAUCUCCCGACUCAAUUGGGAGGUGCCAUAGAAACUGGAGGGCUUGAGGACAGCAGAGGGGGUGGAAUUCCCGGUGUAGUGGUGGUAUGCGUAGAUAUCGGGAGGAACACCAGUGGCGAAGGCGGCCCCCUGGGCUGUUCCUGACGCUGAGGCGCGAAAGCGUGGGGAGCAAACA
rnacentral:rRNA from 1 species